AGAGCUUGCUCUCGGGUGACGAGCGGCGGACGGGUGAGUAAUGUCUGGGAAACUGCCUGAUGGAGGGGGAUAACUACUGGAAACGGUAGCUAAUACCGCAUAAUGUCGCAAGACCAAAGUGGGGGACCUUCGGGCCUCAUGCCAUCAGAUGUGCCCAGAUGGGAUUAGCUAGUAGGUGGGGUAACGGCUCACCUAGGCGACGAUCCCUAGCUGGUCUGAGAGGAUGACCAGCCACACUGGAACUGAGACACGGUCCAGACUCCUACGGGAGGCAGCAGUGGGGAAUAUUGCACAAUGGGCGCAAGCCUGAUGCAGCCAUGCCGCGUGUGUGAAGAAGGCCUUCGGGUUGUAAAGCACUUUCAGCGGGGAGGAAGGCGGUGAGGUUAAUAACCUUGUCGAUUGACGUUACCCGCAGAAGAAGCACCGGCUAACUCCGUGCCAGCAGCCGCGGUAAUACGGAGGGUGCAAGCGUUAAUCGGAAUUACUGGGCGUAAAGCGCACGCAGGCGGUCUGUCAAGUCGGAUGUGAAAUCCCCGGGCUCAACCUGGGAACUGCAUUCGAAACUGGCAGGCUAGAGUCUUGUAGAGGGGGGUAGAAUUCCAGGUGUAGCGGUGAAAUGCGUAGAGAUCUGGAGGAAUACCGGUGGCGAAGGCGGCCCCCUGGACAAAGACUGACGCUCAGGUGCGAAAGCGUGGGGAGCAAACAGGAUUAGAUACCCUGGUAGUCCACGCCGUAAACGAUGUCGAUUUGGAGGUUGUGCCCUUGAGGCGUGGCUUCCGGAGCUAACGCGUUAAAUCGACCGCCUGGGGAGUACGGCCGCAAGGUUAAAACUCAAAUGAAUUGACGGGGGCCCGCACAAGCGGUGGAGCAUGUGGUUUAAUUCGAUGCAACGCGAAGAACCUUACCUGGUCUUGACAUCCACAGAACUUUCCAGAGAUGGAUUGGUGCCUUCGGGAACUGUGAGACAGGUGCUGCAUGGCUGUCGUCAGCUCGUGUUGUGAAAUGUUGGGUUAAGUCCCGCAACGAGCGCAACCCUUAUCCUUUGUUGCCAGCGGUUAGGCCGGGAACUCAAAGGAGACUGCCAGUGAUAAACUGGAGGAAGGUGGGGAUGACGUCAAGUCAUCAUGGCCCUUACGACCAGGGCUACACACGUGCUACAAUGGCAUAUACAAAGAGAAGCGACCUCGCGAGAGCAAGCGGACCUCAUAAAGUAUGUCGUAGUCCGGAUUGGAGUCUGCAACUCGACUCCAUGAAGUCGGAAUCGCUAGUAAUCGUAGAUCAGAAUGCUACGGUGAAUACGUUCCCGGGCCUUGUACACACCGCCCGUCACACCAUGGGAGUGGGUUGCAAAAGAAGUAGGUAGCUUAACCUUCGGGAGGG
rnacentral:rRNA from 1 species